rnacentral:ncRNA from 1 species
AGACAAGCUUUGAAGGGGAGGAGUACACAGCGAAAGCUUUAAGAGAGGUUGGCGCGUGGGCUGAGACGCCGACUAAGCGGACACUGUGGAACGUCGUCCCGGAGCUGCCAACCUGAACGCCGCGGCGAGUAAGGUUGGCCGGUCGCAGGCCGUUAUCCGAUCGAGGGCACAAGUGUGCGACUUGUGAACGAAAGGUGGUACCGCGGAAACAGUCUUCCGUCCUUUAU